AGCAGCCGCCGCGGUAAUACGUAGGUGGCAAGCGUUGUCCGGAAUUAUUGGGCGUAAAGGGCUCGCAGGCGGUUUCUUAAGUCUGAUGUGAAAGCCCCCGGCUCAACCAGGGAGGGUCAUUGGAAACUGGGAAACUUGGGUGCAGAAGAGGAGAGUGGAAUUCCACGUGUAGCGGUGAAAUGCGUAGAGAUGUGGAGGAACACCAGUGGCGAAGGCGACUCUCUGGUCUGUAACUGACGCUGAGGAGCGAAAGCGUGGGGAGCGGACAGGAUUAGAUACCCCAGUAGUCCCUGUCUCUUAUAC
rnacentral:rRNA from 1 species